rnacentral:misc_RNA from 1 species
CCUGAUUCCAGUGUGUAGACAUAUAAUGGUGUAAGAAAAUUUAAUUUAAGAUUUAAAACUCUCUCUUUUUUCUUUUUCUUCAGUACAAAGAACAAAAUGGAGAAGCAAAUUCUACUGGGAGAGGCUGGAGAAGAGAAAACUCAGAGGAUAUCAUGGAGAGGGUUGAUUGAGGAAGUGAAGAGGAUGGCAUAUAUAGCAGGACCUAUGGUGGUUGUAAAUUUAUCACACUAUUUCUUGCAAAUUAUUUCCAUAAUGAUGGUGGGUCAUCUUGGUCAACUCUUUCUUUCUAGCACCGCCAUAGCUAUGUCCUUCUCUGUUGUCACUGGCUUCAGUCUCACCUUUGGGAUGUCAAGUGCACUGGAAACUCUAUGUGGGCAAGCUUAUGGAGCCAAGCAGUAUCGACAAUUUGGAAUUCAAAUCUAUACUGCUAUAUUUUCUCUCAAUGUUGUUUGUAUCCCUCUCUCUAUCUUAUGGAUCUGCAUGGGAAAAAUCCUUGUUUUCAUAGGCCAAGACCCUUUAAUCUCACAAGAAGCUGGUAAAUUUACUACCUGUCUGAUUCCUGCACUCUUUGGCUACGCAACCCUUCAAGCAGUCGUUCGAUAUUUUCAGAUGCAGAGUUUGAUAUUUCCCUUGAUUAUAAGCUCCUUAUUUACUCUUUGUUUCCACAUUCUUGUCUGCUGGAUUCUUGUGUUCAGUUCAGGACUUGGUAACCUUGGUGCAGCAUUUUCAAUUGGCAUUUCAUAUUGGUUAAAUGUGAUUUUACUUGCAUUCUACAUGAGAUUCUCUUCCAGUUGUGCAAAAACUCGUGCCUCAGUGUCCAUGGAGUUAUUCCAAGGAAUUGGAGAGUUUUUUCGCUUAGCUGUCCCUUCUGCUACAAUGAUUUGCCUGGGAUGGUGGUCAUUUGAGUUUCUUACAAUGCUUUCUGGGAUUUUACCAAAUCCAAGGCUUGAAAUGUCUGUUCUUUCUGUUUGUCUAUCAACAAUCUCAACACUUUAUACAAUACCAGAUGGAAUAGGUGCUGCAGCAAGGUUUAUUUAUUUUAAAACUCUCCUACACAUAAAAACAGUUGAAUAUUGCUGCUCUGCAACCAAUUGAUGAUUGUGCUUCUGGUACACAGCACUAGAGUUUCAAAUGAAUUGGGAGCUGGAAAUGCACGAGCAGCUUAUGUAGCUGUCUGGUGCGCGAUGUUUGUCACAACCACACAAUCAAUAAUAGUGAGCUCAAUCCUGUUCGCCACCAGGCAUGUCUUCGGUUAUGUUUUCAGCAAUGAGAAACAAGUUGUGGAUUAUGUCACAGCCAUGGCUCCUCUUGUAUGCAUAUCUGUAAUCUUGGGCAGCUUAGAUGAGACCCUUUCAGGUCAAUUAUAAUAUAUAUCUCCUGCGAGAAAUAAUAUAGUUAAUUGAAUUCAUUAGUACCUGAACAUUAUCUGUUAAUACUUCUGGAAAAAAUAUGCAGGCAUUGCUAUGGGAUGUGGGUGGCAGAAAUAUGGGGCUUAUGUCAAUCUAGUAGCAUUCUAUAUUUGUGGAAUUCCAGUGGCAGCCAUGUUGGGAUUUUGGUUAAAGAUGGGAGGAAAAGGCCUUUGGAUUGGUAUACUAGUUGGUUCCUUUCUGCAAAAUGUUUUGCUUGGUAUCAUAACAACCUGUACGAAUUGGGAAGAACAGGUCUGGUCUUGCCUCCACUAGUAACCAAUAUAUAUAUUUUUUUUUCGGUUAUGUUCUGGUCUUUUCAGGAUUUUUUGUGCGAAUUCUGGUUGCGUUGCAGGCAAUCAAGGCAAGGGAGAGGGUAUUUGAGCGAAGAUUGAUAGCUGAAGAUGGAUCUGAGUGAAGCAAGAAUUUUAGCAAGCGAAGAUUGAGUUCAGUUCCACAGAUAGAAUACUCAUCACAUGAGGAAUAGUAGUUGUAAGUGCAUGCAACAGCUGCUUUAUUUUCAACACCAAAAUGAUGCUUAAAAACAAAAGCUCUUGACAAUUUUUUCUUUUAUCCAUUUUGAGCUACAUUAGUAACUUUUGUUAUUCUCGGAUAAGAACUUUGUAAUAUAUAUAAAACUCAGCAAACCUCCUCUCUUUGAAUUAGUUUUUAAGAUGGAGUCAAACCCAAUUCAUAUUUUAUCUGCAUCUUUUUCAUCCUUUUAGCGGGAUGGGAUGUCAUAAUUUUGGCAUUUGAUUUACUAUAUAAGAACAAUCAUUUUUUGUGAAGUGAUUUUAUGCAACUGUGACACUACACAUUUU